rnacentral:rRNA from 1 species
AGCAGCCGCGGUAAUUCCAGCUCCAAUAGCGUAUAUUAAAGUUGUUGCAGUUAAAAAGCUCGUAGUUGAAUUUCGGGGUUAGUAGGUUGGUCAUGCCUCUGGUAUGUACUGGUCUCACUGAUUCCUCCUUCCUGAUGAGCCGUAAUGCCAUUAAUUUGGUGUUGCGGGGAAUUUGGACUGUUACUUUGAAAAAUUAGAGUGUUUAAAGCAAGCUAACGCUUGAAUACAUUAGCAUGGAAUAAUGAAAUAGGACGUUCGAUCCUAUUUUGUUGGUUUCUAGGAUUGACGUAAUGAUUAAUAGGGAUAGUUGGGGGCAUUAGUAUUCAAUUGUCAGAGGUGAAAUUCUUGGAUUUAUUGAAGACUAACUACUGCGAAAGCAUUUGCCAAGGAUGUUUUCAUUAAUCAAGAACGAAAGUUAGGGGAUCGAAGACGAUCAGAUACCGUCGUAGUCUUAACCAUAAACUAUGCCGACUAGGGAUCGGAUGAUGUUAAUUUUUAAUGACUCAUUCGG